GACGAACGCUGGCGGCGUGCUUAACACAUGCAAGUCGAACGGAAAGGCCCUGCUUUUGUGGGGUGCUCGAGUGGCGAACGGGUGAGUAACACGUGAGUAACCUGCCCUUGACUUUGGGAUAACUUCAGGAAACUGGGGCUAAUACCGGAUAGGAGCUCCUGCUGCAUGGUGGGGGUUGGAAAGUUUCGGCGGUUGGGGAUGGACUCGCGGCUUAUCAGCUUGUUGGUGGGGUAGUGGCUUACCAAGGCUUUGACGGGUAGCCGGCCUGAGAGGGUGACCGGGCACAAUGGGACUGAGAGACGGCCCAGACGCCUACGGGGGGCAGCGGUGGGGAAUAUUGCACAAUGGGCGGAAGCCUGAUGCAGCAACGCCGCGUGCGGGAUGACGGCCUUCGGGUUGUAAACCGCUUUCGCCUGUGACGAAGCGUGAGUGACGGUAAUGGGUAAAGAAGCACCGGCUAACUACGUG
rnacentral:rRNA from 1 species